rnacentral:sRNA from 2 species
GACCCGCACGGGAACAUUACAAACAAACUCACGGCACGCACUGUUUACUAUCCACUGCACAUAUCAUCAUGAUGACCAUCAGCAUUGAUUGGGUUUCAACGGCAGCCUGGGGAUACCUGAGCGUUGUGUACCACUAUACAUGAUUACAUGAGGUAUUGCUUGUAUCCGGCCAGUCUGCAGUCCAUGGAAACAGUCGAGCUGGUUUCCACUGGUUACGCGAAAAAGCAAAACUGGCUUCAGUCGGAGACUACUUUGUUGGGUGCAGAUGCAGAUGGCUCGUUGGCCAGAGUCGGAGAGUUUGAGCUGCUAGUUACCAGUUAGAUCGUGGUCUGAUAGGCACGGACGACAGUUGGGGAGCUUAAUGCGGUGCGGGGUAUGGAUGUAUCUAUGACUGAAGCUGUAGGAGGUGAUAUGAUGACACUUGCAGUAGCUUGUGAUGGGUGAUUGUUAACUAGUUAGUUAACUACUAGUUAAUCCUUUGUCAGGAAGCGUUCAAAAGGAACGGGAUGCAUUGAUUGCUGAGAUUGUGUCGGGACAAUGGCG